GGCUUGAGGACCGUAUUCAUGGAAGAGGAUCGAACAAGACUACUGAGUUCUUAUGAGAAAAAUGGCUCUUAAGAAAUUGAAGGUGAUACCAAAGGAAAGUUACUUAUUACUUUUGGACUUUGAUGAUGAGGACGAUGAUAUAAAAGUUUCAGAGGAGGCUCUUUCGGAAGUAAAGAGCCCAGCAUUUGAUAAAAAUGAGAAUAUAUCGCCUCAAGCAGAAGCAGAUGAAGAUAUGGGAGAUGAAGUAGACAGUAUGUUGGAUAAAUCUGAAGAUGACAUUUAUAAGACGCUUCACAUAAAGAGAAAAUGGAUGGAAACUUAUGUCAAAGAAUCUUUCAAAGGCAGGAACCAGAAAUUAGAAAGAUUUUGCAAAAUGAACGAACGAGAGAGGAAGAACAUCAACAACAAAUUUUGUGAGCAGUAUAUAACUACAUUUCAGAAGUCUUAUAUGGAUGUACAGAAAUUCAAUGAGGAAAAAGAAAAAUCAGUGAAUAGUUGUCAAAAAGAACAACAAGCAUUGAAACUGUCCAAAUGUAGUCAGAACCAGACCCUGGAAGCAGGUAAAGAAAUGCAUGAGAAGUCCAUGGAGCUGCAUCAUUGGACUCAAACUGAAUGGUCCAUGUGUUGCCACUGAUGUGAGCCAUUUGCAAGCC
rnacentral:precursor_RNA from 1 species